UGUUACUACAGAAGGGAAAUGGAAUAGUUAUCUAUUAUGGAGAUGUGAAAAUGAGCCAGUGGUCGAGGAGCCCUUUAUUUUGGCAUUUUAACAAUGGAUGCCGAUGAUCUCCUGCUGAUGUACAUGCCAUAUUGUGUAUACAAGAAAAUUACUGUAUGUCUUGACGAAGCAAUAAAGAAACAUCCUGAAUUUUUGUCACAACACAAAGGGAAGGAAAACAAAUUAUCAUCACCUGGAGUGUUGCUAUUUGACGAAUUGUCCCGGAAGAGUUGGACUUGUCAUAAUCUCAAAGUAGAGAUUGAGUCAUAUGGUGAUGAUGAUAUCUCUCAAAGCUUUCAAACAAGUGUUAAUGUCAUCGGAGACAAGAGCCAAAAUGGAGAGCAAAGUUUGUUAUCUCAAAACUUAGCAUUACAAGAUCAUGUAGAUGAAUUAAAUCUUCAACUACGUCUCCAAGAACAACACAUAAGCAGAGUUGGCCAUCAGGAACAUUUGGUACCUCUUCAAAGAGGCAGUCACAUGUACAGAUCUCCUUCUCCCAUAAAUUGUCUCGAAGAAGACCCUGAUGACAUUGAAUUUGGGUGAACAGUUUUGACACCUGCAUUAUUUGUUUAAUUCUCCUGCUGAAGAGUGAAGAUAGGAAAUGAUGAUAGAAAUUGCCACGCAUCUCCAGAUUGAUUUGAAAAUCUGGGCUACCUAUAACAAUAUUACUAAAAUAAGGAAAAGCUGUCAUUUAAAAUUUUUGAAAUAGGUUUUAGAUUUAGUUGUCGUGGUGGGAGUGAGCUCAAUAUUGAGAUCUGUAAAUAGAUCUAUAAUUAGAGUUCAUAAAAGUUAGGUCCACCUUUGUUGUCAUAAUAAUAUAUGUCCAAAUGUGUCUGUAUUAUUAGAACUUUAUUAUAUAUAGACGGUACUCUGUAACACAACAGGAACUGCUUAGAAUAUUAAAACAUCAAUGGCAGUGAAAGGAUUAUAAUUUUGAAAAUCUUGCUUUCCAGUCUUUUUACCUUCUUUCAGUUGCCCCCUUUUCUCCUGCCUUUGUUUUCAUAUGACUGUGUCCCAUAUGACUGUCCCAUAUAUGACUGUGUCCCAUAUGACUGUAGCUCAGCAUCUUUCUCGCAAUUCUACGUACCUUGGUUUUCGAAUUAUCUAGUUUGAAGCUUACCAAAUGUUGCCAUUAUAACACGACUUUCCUCCAGUUGCAGGCUAAACCCUUCACGGAAUGUAAAUUGUUAGCUGGACGAUGAUUGGUGAUAUGAGAUUUUGGUAUUCAUGCUCACUUCCUUCAACUGUAAAUUUGUAUUAUACUAUCAUAGUUAUCCUGGAAUUUAUUUACAACUAGGUAUUAUUUCAUACUGAUUUGUGUGUUAUUAGCUUUUAUCUGGUGUUUGUUUGGGGUUUUGCAAGAAAGCUCAGAAGUAAUGCAGGGUUCCCUAAUUAUAUCCUUUUGGAAAAUAACAUAAUUUAAAUUUAUUUGAAUCUUUGAGUUUUUUAGAACUUGUAGAAACUUUUGAUAAAUUUCCAAAUUAGUUUCCGAUUUAACACCUCCAAUUGAAACAAAAAUGUACUUGUGCAAUGAGAAGUUGUGUAUUGUCUCAUAUUAUAAACGAUGGGAGGGGAUAAGAUUUAAAGUCCUUCUGCUGGCAAUGAUAAUUUAGCAUGUAAAAUAUUUUGAAAAAAAAAAACUCUGGCUAAUAUAACAUAACUGUGAGAAGUAAAUGGAUAGUUGAGUAUUUUAUGGAAAAUUGAAAUAAAAUCUAGUUUAUGAUAAAUUUAUUACUGUUUGUGUUACUAUUUGGUUAUUUUCCCAUUUAAUUUAAUGAUGAAGAUCAUGACGUCUUUUCAUGAUGUUUUAGUCUUGUAUUAUCUUUAUAUCAUGUUUCCUUGAUAAUAAUAUGAAAUGUCUAAAAAAGCAUCAAAUUAAGGUUAUUUUCUACUAA